rnacentral:rRNA from 1 species
CCUACGGGCGGCAGCAGUAGGGAAUAUUGGUCAAUGGGCGAAACUCUGAAGCAGCAACGCCGCGUGGAGGAUGACGGUUUUAGGAUUGUAAACCCCUUUUGUUAGAGAAGAACAUGACGGUAUGUAACUAAUAAUCACCUGCCAAUUCCUUGCCAGCAACCGCGGUAAUACUGAGGGUGCAAGCGUUACUCGGAAGUAGUGGGCGUAAAGUUUGCGGAGGCGGGGUGAUAAGUCAGAUGUGAAAUCCUGUGGCUUAACUGCAGAACUGCAUUUGAUACUGUUAGUAUGGAGUGUAGGAGAGGGAGGUGGAAUUCUUGGUGUAGGGGUAAAAUGCGUAGAGAUAAAGAGGAAUACUAAUUGCGAAGGCGGCCUGCUGGAACAUUACUGACGCUGAUGCACGAAAGCGUGGGGAGCAAACAGGAUUAGAUACCCGGGUAGUC